UUAAGUAGGGCGGGACACGUGAAAUCCUGUCUGAAGAUCGGAGGACCACCUUCGAAGGCUAAGUACUCCUUACUGACCGAUAGCGAACCAGUACCGUGAGGGAAAGGUGAAAAGCACCCCGACGAGGGGAGUGAAACAGUACCUGAAACCGAACGCCUACAAUCAGUCGGAGCCCCCUUGCGGGGUGACGGCGUACCUUUUGUAUAAUGGGUCAGCGACUUAUAUUUAGUAGCAAGGUUAACCGUAUAGGGGAGCCGUAGCGAAAGCGAGUGUUAACUGCGCGUUUAGUUGCUAGGUAUAGACCCGAAACCCGGUGAUCUAGCCAUGGGCAGGUUGAAGGUUGAGUAACAUCAACUGGAGGACCGAACCGACUAACUUUGAAAAGUUAGCGGAUGACUUGUGGCUGGGGGUGAAAGGCCAAUCAAACCGGGAGAUAGCUGGUUCUCCCCGAAAUCUAUUUAGGUAGAGCCUCGGACGAACACCAUUGGGGGUAGAGCACUGUUAAGGCUAGGGGGUCAUCCCGACUUACCAACCCUUUGCAAACUCCGAAUACCGAUGAGUGCUAUCCGGGAGACACACGGCGGGUGCUAACGUCCGUCGUGAAGAGGGAAACAAC
rnacentral:rRNA from 1 species